GAACUUGAUGCGGCGACAAGCGUUGAUCUGAAAGAAGCUCCGGUGACUCUUCACGAAACUUAUGUGUGUCAGCGACAGGCGAAGAACCGACCACCAACCACCGUGCGUGAUGCUCCAGUACUUUACCAUCGUAAGCAGCGACGUGCGAUUGAUUAGAGUUGGUGUGGGGAUGGCCCAUCACGAAGCUCGGCGUCGUCUCUCUCUCUCUCCCCUCCUUUUUUGCAUAUGUUUUUCUAGUUGGUGUGCUGGUGCGGUGGUUUUAAGGAUUCUCUGUGCCAUGGUAUGAUUGUGGUUGGAUGGUUUCUAUUGGUGUUCUGGCAAUGGAAGAAAUUGUGGACUUUAGCAGCCAGUGGUUGUGGUUAUGCGGUGGUUAUUAGAGUUGCAGGUGGAGGUGGUGGAUGGUGUUUGAGCAGGCGGUUGUGGGGGUGGCAACAAUGAUGUGUGGUAGUCAUGGUGGUGGUGACUGGAAGAAAUGGGGGAAUUUAGUAGGUAGUGUUCGUGUUUGCCAAGGUGAAUCGGUGAAAGUGAAUCGAGUUGUGUGCUGCUGUUGGGUGCGGUUGAAGUGUGCUGUGAUCUGUGGUAGUGGUGCUGAGAUUGUGCUGUUAGAUGGUAGUGUGGUUGGAUGUGGUGAGGGUGGGUGUGCGCGCAGUAGGUGCGAUGGUGUUGGCAACAUGGUGGCGCUGCUAGUAUGCAGUGGUUGGAUGCGGUGUGGUGGUGUGCAUUGUCUGGUGUGGUUGGAUGCGAUUUUGGUGAGGGAAUGUGCUGUGGAUGUGAUGAGCUGUGCGCUGCCGUGAAUUUGAUUUUGUGGUGGUUAUAGAGUAGUUUUAGUUUUUUGUUUUGCAAGUGGUAGUGGUGCUGGCUUUGGCG
rnacentral:lncRNA from 1 species